CUUGGAUCAGAAUCAGAUUAAAAUUUCGGAUCUAGAUAUUAUGCACAAUUCUAUAUACGAGUAUCAAUAUAGCCUAUUAACUAGUGCGUUCUUUUAUUUUCUAUUUUUAUGAUUUUUAUUGGUCAGAUAUCAACAUGAUUAAUAACUAAAACAUUCGAUAUUUGUGUCACAAAUUUAUUAUGAACGUGUAUUUUGUUUUAAUUUUUAUUACUGCAUAAUAAACUUGUUUCUUUUAGAGCAUCUCCAAAAAAAAACUCUUUUUGAAGUUUUCAAAAUUCUAUAUUUGAAGUUCAAUAGUGUUUUUCUCCAAAAGUAAAACUUCAAACCUAACUUCAAAAUUUUUUUGUAUUUUAUACUAUGGCCUUAUAUUUGUCAUAAUUAAUUUAAAUUCAUUAAACUUUUUUAAAUUUCUAGCCCAUAUAUAAAACAUUACAACAAUAUUAAUUAAUAAAAUUUUACAUUAAAAUAUAAAGUUUUAAAUAAAAAUACAUAAUUAAUAUUAUACUUCAAGCAAAAUAUCAUUUUAUUCCAUAAAAUUAUUUGUGUAAUGCGUAUAUGAGCAACUAGUGCAUUUUGAGUAAAAUAUGUUUUUUUUUAUUUUUAAUCUGUAUAUUAGGAGAUAAAAAUUAUUAAAAUCAGGUUAUAUUUUCAGUCAUUAGACGAAACAUGCUCAUAUAGACUAUGUAAACCAAACAUGUAGCUCCGCAUCUAUAUGGACGAUAAACAACGGCUGCUUUCUGGCACUACGUGAAAUCAUGUGAUAUUAGUACUUGUAUGAACAUUAGAUUUGAGUAAGAAAGUAAAAUAAGAAAAUAAAAUAUUGCUAAAAGACUUAACUUCUAUCGAUGAUAUUAAUAUUCAUGAAUACAUUUGCUAUGAAAAAGAAAGAAUUGUAUGAAAAAGACAAUAAAAACAACAACCAUCUUAUGUUACAUAAAAUUUGUUUUGGACAAUAUUUUGGAGAUUGUGGAGGCUACAUGAAUAUUAGUGUUGUUGUAAUAUUUAAAUUUGAGUAAUAGUUAUGUCUUCAUGUAUUUUUAAAUUCUUUUUCUUGCUAAGUUUCUUUUGUAUAUUGUUGUUGUCUAAAUAUAGUUUUAAAAUAUUUUAAAAUUUUAUUUAAUUUUUAUGUGUAAAACUUAAAGUAUAAAGUUUUUUAAAAAAUAUUUAUGAAAUAUAAAUUUUUAAUGAUUAAAACAAAAAUAUGUUUAAGAAUCAUAAAUAUGAUAUGUAAUUGUACGGACUAAACUGCAAACAAAAAUAUAAAAAUUCAAAUUUGAAGUUUUGAUUAGUGAAAUUUAAAAUAUGAAAUUUCAGUAUUUGAAACUCUAAAGUUGAAGUUUUAAAAUUUAUUUUUGGAGAACAAAAAAACUUCAUAUUUGAAAUUAUAAAAUAUUUUUUUGGAGAUGCUCUUACAACGGUGGUAUUUUAGGCACCGGUACAUUUAACUUUGAUUGCAGUGGGACAAAAAGUUUAUCUAUGAAAUUAUAUUUUGAAAAAGAGUAAUUAUGUAGGUAGUGGUCGGUUGCCGGCCUCUGAGUAAGCCAUUGGCUUACCCGCCGAUGUACUUCGAAUGAAUUUUUUUCUUUUUUGAAAAAACUUAAAAGAACAUUUUUUGACAAAGGACUAAAAACUUAAAAUUCUAUACAAAUUAGUUACAAUGUUAAUUUUAAUCUCCACGUUAUUACGGAAGGAAAUCGAGUAUUUCUCUACUCAGGACCGGCUCACAAAGAAGGUUAAGCGGUGCAACCGUUCCGGACACAAACCCGUGUCCCCCCGUAUAGUAAUAAUUAAGGUACCCAAUUUUUAUAUACAUCUAUAUUUUUAUAUAUAAAAAAUUAUAAAUAUAAUAAAUAAAAUUGAAAAGGAUCCAAAAUUAUUGAUAUAUAUAUAUAGUUUUAUUUUCAAUACAAUAUACAAAAUAUUACUAAUUAAAUUUUAAAAAUAUUUUAAACAUUAUAUGCAUAUAAAUUUUAAAAGUAAAAAAAAAUUUUGUCCUGUGGCCCCUAAGGAGCCGGCCCUGUCUCUACUUCCAUAUGAAAAUGAGAUGAGGUAUAUUAAUGUUAAUUUUAGUAUAUUUUUGAAAAAUGUAAAAUUUAAAUAUAUUAGUUUCUUUUCAACGAAAAAAAUUGUGUAUAUUAGAGUUUCGUUCAACGCAAAUUUUGAAACUUUUUUUUUAUCAUAAAGGAAAAAGAAAAUAAAGGAGAGUGAGGGUGGUGAUAUCUUCAAUAACAAACUUUAAAAUCUUAUAAAACGCAUAUACCACUUUCAUCUUUGUAAUUGAUUCAGCUUUUUUCUAUUUAGUUUUUUAUUUAGCUAUACUGAAUAUCGUGGUAGUGCUAUAUAUAUUGGUGAAAUACUCUAAAUGGAUUCUCGCUGUUGUCUUACAAGUAUAAAAUACAUUUUUCUUGAAAGUAUAUAUUAAAACUUAUGGGCUUUUUAUUAUUAUUUUGAAAUUUCAUUAGUGCCUCACAUAAAAAUGUUUUUAGAUCCGGUUUAAACUGUAUUACUUUUUUUUUUGUUUUCUAUUAAAAUUUUCAAACAAACUAAAACGAAUUUUUAUAUAUUUAAGAAAUCAAAUUUCAGUAUUUUAUUGGUGGCUAGUAGAGGUACUAAACCUACUUUCUGUUGCUAUGUGAUGGAUAGUGAAUUACAUUCGUUUGAAAAUUAUCAAGACAUUUAUUUAAAUCACUUGAUUCCGGUAGAAUUAUGGAUUCUGAUCUGCCAAAAAAGAAUGUGCUGAUCGACAUCAUAAUUAAGAGGUUGUUCUUUCCUCUACCGAAGGUUGUACAUCAUUUAUGCCACCGAUCCGACAUCACAACACCGAUCCAUAAAACGAGUCCGGAUAUCCACAGUUUAAACGAAUACCUAAUCUAUAGUAUUAUUUGCCAAGUAAGUUUUUGGAAUCGAGCUCUCACAUUAAAAAUUAGAAUGGUUAUAUAAUCUUGUUUAUAUCUUUAAUGAAUAAAAUGUAUAACUAAAUUAAAAAAUAAAAACGAAAUUUUAAUUUAUUUGAUUAGAUAAUUGAUUAAAAUUAAUAAUAGUAAGAAUAUCCGAAAUCUGAAAAUAUAAUUUUAAAAAAAGAUAAUUUAUGUAUAUAUUGUAUUGUUAUGUGAAAAAGUCUUUUAGUAAAAAGUUAAAAACAUGAAUUAUAUAACUAAAUAUUAAUCAAAUAAAAUUUUAAGUUCUGUCCGAUGAAAUUAUACUAUAAGGUUCAUGAAAACCUUUUCCAUGAAAACCUUUUCCAUGAAAUUCCGAAUUCUUUUUAAUUUUAAGUUCCGUCCGAUGAAAUUUUCCCGUCGUGGCAUUUAUGAGAAUUCGGAUCUUCACUUUUCUCACGUUUUGGUUGUUUUCGUUCGAUGAUUCAGCGUUCUUCCAGGCGGUAGUGGUCUUCUAUCUGAAUUUUAGGCUUUAGUUUCAGUGAAAAUCAGGGGUCUAAUAAGGAGCUUUUUUAUUUUUUAGUUAGGUUAUAUUUUAAGUUUUUCUUAUUGGGUUUUUAGUUUUAUUUUGUAAAUUCGUAUCUGUGUAUACUUUGUGAAACAAAAAAAAUUAUUUUGAUAUAGAAACCUUCUUUAAAGUUAGGCGGUAUUAUCACCAAUUCGUUAUAAAUACAAAUGUUAUAGUGGUGGGUUCAAACAUUCUCAACAAACAAACAAACAGUUCACUUCUUUGUUCUUCACAUAGGUUUUUGAGUUUCAACUAUGGAACCAAAUCGUGUUCAGUUUCUUGAGAACAAGACCUUGCUCGUUACAGGCGCUUCCGGUUUCCUCUCUAAAGUUUUCGUGGAGCGAGUUCUGAGUUUGCAACCAAACGUGAAGAAGCUUUACCUUCUCGUAAGAGCAUCUGACAAUAAAUCCGCGGAACAACGGUUACACAAUGAGGUUUUCGAGAAAGAUUUGUUUAAGGUGUUAAGAAAGAAUAUUGGUGACGAAAGUUUAAACGCCUUGGUAUCGGAAAAAGUUGUUCCUGUUCCAGGCGACGUAACAUUAAACAAUAUGGGAGUGAGUGACUCUAACCUUUUGCAAGAUAUGAUGCAAGAGACUGACAUUGUUGUCCAUGCAGCUGCCACCACGAGAUUCGACGAAAGGUUGUAUGUGAAAAGAUACGAUGUAGCACUUCGGAUCAACACAUUUGGAGCGCUCAAUGUCCUUAACUUUGCUAAGAAGUCUGUGAAAGCACAAUUGCUUCUCCAUGUAUCAACUGCUUAUGUUUGCGGGGAAAGAUCGGGACUUAUACAAGAGAUACCUUUUGCAAUGGGAGACACUCUUCACGGAAAAAACAAGGUAGAUAUCAAUACCGAAAUGCAGCUGGUAGAGCAGAGAUUGAAACAACUCGUUGAACAAGGUUGUUCAGAAGAAGAAACUAAACAUGCCAUGAGAGAUCUUGGGUUGAAAAGGGCAAAGCAUUUUGGAUUGCCAAACACAUAUGUCUUCACCAAAGUAAUGGGAGAGAUGUUUCUUGGACACUAUAGAGAAAAUAUGCCUAUUGUAGUAAUACGUCCCGCAAUGAUCACAAGCACUUUCUCGGACCCAUUUCCCGGUUGGAUUGAAGGCGUCAAAACCGUAGACACUGUGAUUGUAUCAUAUGGGAAGGGAAUGCUUAAGUGUUUCCUCGUUGAUCAAAAAACGGCAUGUGAUAUUAUACCCGUCGACAUGGUGGCAAAUGCAAUGAUCGCGACAUCAGCUGAACAUUUCCAUGAUUCAGGAAGCCAUACCGUUUACCAUGUGGCCUCAUCUUACCGGAAUCCAAUAACGUAUAAGCAAAUUAACGAAAUUAUUAUUCGUUAUUUCAAGAAAAGCCCUCUGCUUGGCCGCAGUGGUAUGCCUAUAGUCCCAAAAGCGCUAGUACUUUUAUCCACUAAGGCUAUGUUCCGUCUCUACACGAGCCUUCGGUUUAAAUUACCUUUACAGAUUUUGGGAUUGCUUAGCAUAACUUUCCCAUCGCAAUUUGGAAAUACUUAUCAACAUCACAAUCGUAAAUUCAAGAUGGGCAUGAGAUUGGUUGAACUUUAUGAGCCUUAUCUACUCUUUAAGGGCAUAUUCGAUGAUAGAAACCUGGAAACAUUACGAAUCAAGAAUGGAGCCAAAGAGACGAACGGCAUACCCGGGUUCAGCUCCAAAUACAUUGAUUGGGAAGAUUAUUUUAUCAAUACACAUAUCCCAGGCCUCGCUACACACCUACUCGAUAAAUAAAUAAAGUCCAAAACAUGAAAUAUGAAGUAUAUAUUUAAACAUAAAAAUAAACUCCAUCACACACAUCUGGAUACGCUCAGAUUCUCAAGUGCUCGCUAGAGCAAUAGACCGGAAAUGAGGUCCGUCAGAGCUCCACAGCGUCGUCAUGGACAUCCUCAGUCUUUCUUCUUCAUUUAAUUUCUGUUUUUUCUCAUAUAUCUCUAGAUCGUGUAGUGAGCUAGCAGAUGUCUUGGCCAAAGCCUACUUAAACAACUUCACUCUUGUAGGGCUCUAAACCCAUUUUAAUAAAAUGAUUCAAGUGUUUCAAAAAAAAAAAGGAAGUCAAGUCAAAAAAAUAUUGUAAUAUUGUAUUAUGUGGUUUAAGCGAGCCUACAAUUUAUAAUAAUUAGUCGAUAUAAUUUCUAAAGAUAAUGUUGGCUUUGUUUUCCUGCCAUCCUCUAUGUUACGGCAAAAAAGUAAAGUCGGAUGAAUUAAAGAGCCGUUAAUAUAAAAGAAAAGCAAAAGUGUGUAAAGCCAACCACAAAGAUCAACGCAUGUUGGUCACUUUAAUUACAGAUUACUAAUUUAUUUUAUAUAAAGCUUACAUACGUUCCACAUAUUUCACUCGGACAAUAAAAGAUAUCUAAAGCCAUCAAAUUCUCAUAAAUACUUUGUUUUAAUUCGAGGAUUCUCCAAUGGCGAAUCAUCAAGCAGCUCUUGCAGCAUUCUUCCUAUUCGUUUUGGCCGUCUUCUCCAACUUUGAGCUCUCGGCUUCUUCGAUUGUUUGUGGCAAGGUCUCUUGCCUAGACUGCCACAGUGAUUUCGACUUCUCAGGCAUUAAGAUUCCUCUUAAAGUGUGAUGGAGAGAAGAAACCUGUGACCACCAUGGCGGCCUAAGACCGAUCGUUCCUGUCAGUGCUUCCGACCGCCAAUGAAAAAGUCACUAUGAAGUGACUUGCAGCUAUUGGGAGGUCCUGAGCAACUGUAUGCUCACAAAAACAACUUGGUCUCUGAACUGGUCAAGUCCAAACAUGAGUCCAAAGUUUUAACUACAUCAAACCCGCUUUCGUUCUCCCUCUCAUGCCCAAAACCAACCGCAGAUAACGUCGGAAAUAUAAUCAGAGAUUCGAAAACUGUUGAUUUUCCGGGAACAGGAGGUUUUGGAUUCCCACCCGCUAGCUUUUUCCCUUUCUUACCAAUCAUUGGCAUCCCUUGAUUUACUUAAAUGUUGCUUUGAUAAGACAUGCAAACUUAUUUUUUCAUAUCUAAAAUUGAAGAGGGCCAAGAAAUUAUACUGUACUAGCAAAUUACGAAAUUUGUUUCGCUUUGUGAAAUCUAAUGUUUUGUUUAUAUUUAUGAUAAUAAAACACUGUUUAUUGGUU